GAUUCGCCUUCGCCUCCCGGAAACGGCGGGUAUCUAUCACCUCUAGAGGAAAGAAAACUGUCCUCUAAUAGCGAUUCUGGUUCAGACAAAUCGGACAAAUCAAGAAAAUACCAAAAUGAACCGGGUAAAAAGUCGCCAAAAUCAAAAGGUGUGUACGAGUCAAUCAAAGAUGCCGGGAUUACCCAAGAACACCAGUACAUAGAUCUACACACGACGGUAUCGUAAUGGCCUAGCUAUUCCUUAUAUUGCCGUUGAACUGGACACCUCGUCAAGGACCACAACGUGCAAGACCUAUGUCCAAAAUAAGCAAGUCCAGACAAGCCCCGGUAAUAUCAGUAAGAACUGCCAAGACCCCCCUACAACACAUGUGUUGUACGAAGAUCAAAGAUGUCGAGGAUACUAUGAAAAUAGGUAUAUGGAAUAGCAGGCAUAACUCCAUUCCGGUGGUUUUUCAUAAAUUUGUUCAUCCAUUUUAGAUAUGUUACUAAUACAUUUUUUUUAAUAUAUACAGAAACAUUGCUUUCAAUAUAUUUUGCAAUUUUACUGUUGUGUAUAAAGAUGUAUGCAUGCAUAUAAUCGAACUGUAAUCGAACUGUAUUAUGCAUAUGUUAAUUUAAAAUAAAUCUAUUUAAAAUACUCUGGAUUUUUUUCACAAUAUAUUCAAGUUAACCUUUUCCUGGUUGUUUUUUUUUUAUUUUGUUUCCUUAUAGUUCCAUUUAUUUUUGUUUGUUUAAUUUUUUAACAAUUUAAGUUCCAGAUCAGUGACUAAUGAACAACGAAAAAAAUUUCAAGAUAUUAAAACUAGAUUUUUCAUACAUUGUUUAUGGUUUAAAGAAUUCUUUUUUGCCUCUAUGAGCGAUGAUCAAAGAAUAAAAGAUAACUUUUUUGCAAAUGAAAAUUAAUCUAACGAAUGCGUGUUUACUUGACUUUACAUCUCUAUUUGAAUUUUUUAUUCAUAUAUUUAUUGUCAUAACCCUUACGUAUUUGUAAUACUUUAUGAAAUAAACUAGUUAUAGUAAC
rnacentral:misc_RNA from 1 species